UUGAAAGCCAUAAUCUCGUGAAGUCCUGCAGAUCUGGAUCAGGCUGAGGGAUCUGCAUCCAACAGGGUUUAACGAGGACCAGCGCUGAGCUGAACUGAAGCUUUCAGAAGGAAGUGGCACGGCAGAGGUCAUCUCUAAACGACGGGAAUCUCUCAGGGGUUUCGGCUCUCUUUUGAACUCAGAAUGGGUCCGUCCGGUCUUAUCUGUGUCACACAGCGGUGGGUCUCAGACCCACUCAGACCCCCGUAAACUGCUUUCAAAGGGCCAGAGGAACCAGAACUGAGUAACAGCUUUAUUUCCUAUUACGAUCCUCAUUGCCUCUUUCUGAUGGAUGUCAGCAACAUUUGGGAUAAAUGUGUUAUAAAGCCUCUCG